AUGGUGUCUGGAUCCUUAUCCCCAUGGUGUCCCCAUCCCUGCAGCGUCUCCAUCCCUGUCCCUGCAGCCUCUCCAUCUCUGUCCCCGUGGUGUCUCCAUCUCUGUCCCUGUGGUGUCUCCAUCCCUGCAGCAUCUCCAUUCCCAUCCCCGUGGUGUCUCCAUCCUCAUCCCCAUGGUGUCUCCAUCACUGUCCCUGUGGCAUCUCCAUCUCUGUCCCUGUGGUGUCUCCAUCCCUGCAGUGUCUCCAUCCCUGUCCCCGUGGUGUCUCCAUCCCUGUCCCUGUGGUGUCUCCAUCCCUGUCCCCGUGGUGUCUCCAUCCCCGUCCCCGUGGUGUCUCCAUCCCUGUCCCCGUGGUGUCUCCAUCCCUGUCCCUGUGGUGUCUCCAUCCCUGUCCCCAUGGUGUCUCCAUCCCCGUCCCCGUGGUGUCUCCAUCCCUGUCCCCGUGGUGUCUCCAUCCCUGUCCCUGUGGUGUCUCCAUCCCUGUCCCCAUGGUGUCUCCAUCCCCGUCCCCAUGGUGUCUUCAUCCCUGCAGCAUCUCUGUCCCUGUGCCCAUGGUGUCUCCAUCCCCAUCCCUGUGGUGUCCCCAUCCCUGUCCCCAUGGUGUCUGGAUCCUUAUCCCCAUGGUGUCCCCAUCCCUGCAGCCUCUCCAUCCCCAUCCCCGUGGUGUCUCCAUCCCCGUCCCCAUGGCGUCUGGAUCCUUAUCCCCAUGGUGUCUCCAUCCCUGCGGUGUCUCCAUCCCUGUCCCUGUGGUGUCUCCAUCCCUGUCCCUGUGGUAUCCCUGUCCCUGUGGUGUCUCCAUCCCUGUCCCUGUGGUGUCUCCAUCCCUGUCCCUGUGGUGUCCCCAUCCCUGCAGCAUCUCCAUCCCUGUCCCCAUGGUGUCCCCAUCCCUGUUCCCGUGGUGUCCCCAUCCCUGCAACCUCUCCAUCCCCAUCCCCGUGGUGUCUCCAUCUCUGUCCCUGUGGUGUCCCCAUCCCUGUCUCCAUGCUGUCUCCAGCUCUGUCCCUGUGGUGUCCCCAUCCCUGCAGCCUCUCCAUCCCUGUCCCCGAGGUGUCCCUGUCCCUGCACACCGGCCUCUGGGGGGACUCCACGGCGGCUGAAGGGGCUGAGAGACCCCGACUGGAGCCGUGGGGAGGCAGGACAGGGAGUGAGAGGGACAAGGUGGCCCUGGGGUUGUACACACACACCUGCAGGCACCGCUCCACGCACACCCACCCCCAAAACCACAACCUCACACACACUGCCCUGCACACACACACACACACACACACACGUGCACCCCGGGGGUUCCCUGGGCACGGGGGUCACCCCAUUCCUUGCCCGUUUUGCCGUCAGUGGCUGUUGUUGGGUUGUUGGCUGUCGGGUGUUGGCAAAGGGCCUGGCCCGGUGACACCGCUCCACGCCUGA
rnacentral:lncRNA from 1 species